rnacentral:rRNA from 1 species
UUACAAUGAAGAGUUUGAUCCUGGCUCAGGAUGAACG